rnacentral:rRNA from 1 species
UACGAAGGGUGCAAGCGUUACUCGGAAUUACUGGGCGUAAAGCGUGCGUAGGUGGUUUCUUAAGUCUGCUGUGAAAGUCCAGGGCUCAACCCUGGAAUGCCAGUGGAAACUGUCGAGCUAGAGUCCGGAAGAGGCGAGUGGAAUUCCUGGUGUAGCGGUGAAAUGCGCAGAUAUCAGGAGGAACACCAAUGGCGAAGGCAGCUCGCUGGGACGGUACUGACGCUGAGACGCGAAAGCGUGGGGAGCAAACAGG